rnacentral:rRNA from 1 species
CCUGGCUCAGAAUGAACGCUGGCGGCGUGCUUAACACAUGCAAGUCGCACGAGAACACCUCAGCUUGCUGGGGUAAGUAAAGUGGCGUACGGGUGAGUAACGCGUGGGUAAUCUGCCCUCGAAUCUGGGAUAACCCCGCGAAAGCGGGGCUAAUACCGGAUGAAAUCCAGUUAGCUUUGGCUAUAUGGAUCAAAGGUGGCCUCUGCAUGCAAGCUACUGUUUGGGGAUGAGCCCGCGUACCAUUAGCUUGUUGGUGGGGUAAAGGCCCACCAAGGCGACGAUGGUUAGCUGGUCUGAGAGGAUGAUCAGCCACACUGGAACUGGAACACGGUCCAGACUCCUACGGGAGGCAGCAGUGAGGAAUUUUGCGCAAUGGGGGUAACCCUGACGCAGCAACGCCGCGUGAGUGAUGAAGGCCUUCGGGUCGUAAAGCUCUGUCAAGUGGGAAGAACCCAUUCCGGCACAACAAGCCGGGGUGCUGACGGUACCACUGAAGGAAGCACCGGCUAACUCCGUGCCAGCAGCCGCGGUAAUACGGAGGGUGCGAGCGUUAUUCGGAAUUACUGGGCGUAAAGGGCGCGUAGGCGGCCGAUUAAGUCAGAUGUGAAAUCCCGGGGCUUACCCCCGGAAGUGCAUUUGAUACUGAACGGCUUGAGUAUGGGAGAGGGAAGUGGAAUUCCUGGUGUAGCGGUGAAAUGCGUAGAUAUCAGGAGGAACACCGGUGGCGAAGGCGACUUCCUGGACCAAUACUGACGCUGAGGCGCGAAGGCGUGGGGAGCAAACAGGAUUAGAUACCCUGGUAGUCCACGCAGUAAACGGUGAUCACUAGGUGUAGCGGGUAUUGACCCCUGCUGUGCCGGAGUUAACGCAUUAAGUGAUCCGCCUGGGGAGUACGGCCGCAAGGUUAAAAUUUAAGUGAUUUGAUCGGGGGUUAGUACAAGUGGUGGAGUAUGUGGUUUAAUUAGAGAGGAAUGUGAAGAACUUUACGAUGGAUUUGACAUAUUCGGGAAUACAAGCGGAUACGAUGGGAGUGACAUUCGGGGAGCCCGAAGACAGGUGCUGCAUGGCUGUUGUCAGCUCGUGUCGUGAGAUGUUGGGUUAAGUCCAGCAAUGAGCGCAACCCCUAUAUUCAGUUACCAGCAGAGUAAAGUCGGGGAGUCUGGAGAUACUGCAUCGGUCAACGGGGAGGAAGGUGGGGAUGACGUGAAGUCCUCAUGGCAUUUAUGUCAAGGGCUACACACGUGCUACAAUGGGCUGUACAGAGGGAAGCGAUCUCGCGAGGGUGAGCCAAUCCCAAAAAGCAGUCAUCAGUUCGGAUUGGAGUCUGCAACUCGACUCCAUGAAGCUGGAAUCGCUAGUAAUCGCGGAUCAGCAUGCCGCGGUGAUACGUUCCCGGGCAUUGUACACACCGCCCGUCACACCAUGAGAGUUGGCUGUACCAGAAGUCGUCGGGCCAAC